GGGAAACGGUGGCGAGACCCAGGGAAGGAGCCAACCUGAGUCUCAGCUCCCUCAGGCUCU
rfam:Alligator mississippiensis ScZkoYb_437, whole genome shotgun sequence.